rnacentral:rRNA from 1 species
ACUUGCACACAACUUAGAUGAUUUAAAUUUAAAAUAUGAGAAACUAAAUUUAUUUUUAUUUAUUUUUGCUAUCUUUAUUCAUUUUUAUAGAGUAAAGAUAAAAACAAAAACUUCGUAAAAAUAAUAAAAUAUAGUAAAAAACAAUAAGUUAAGUCAUUUAAGUUGUGUGCAAGU